rnacentral:rRNA from 1 species
UGCCAGCCGCCGCGGUAAUACGUAUGGUGCAAGCGUUAUCCGGAAUCACUGGGCGUAAAGGGAGCGUAGGCGGUUUUGCAAGUCAGAAGUGAAAGGCUACGGCUCAACCGUAGUAAGCUUUUGAAACUGCAAGACUAGAGUGCAGGAGAGGCAAGUGGAAUUCCUAGUGUAGAGGUGAAAUUCGUAGAUAUUAGGAGGAACACCAGUGGCGAAGGCGACUUGCUGGACUGUAACUGACGCUGAGGCUCGAAAGCGUGGGGAGCGAACAGGAUUAGAUA